ACGGGCGGAGCCGCGUUGUGCCCGCCCCGGAACCGCCUCCGAAGCGGGGCGGAGCGGGACGUGAGCGCGUCCGGCGCUGCUUUGCUCCGCGGCUGCCGAAAGGCGUGUGGGGGCCGGGAGGGUCGGGGGGAGAGGCUGAAGUGAACGCGGCGUCCCUCGGCUCGGUGUCAGCUGGCGGCGCGAGGGGCCGCGCCGUGAGGAGAGCGAUGAACGAUUGGGCGCCCAUAGCGAAGGAGUACGACCCCCUGAAAGCCGGGAGCAUCGACGGCACGGAUGAGGAGCCCCACGACCGUGCCGUGUGGAGGGCCAUGCUGGCGCGUUAUGUCCCCAACAAGGGCGUCACCGGAGAUCCUCACCUCACCCUGUUCGUAGCGAGGCUCAAUCUGCAGACGACGGAGGAGAAAUUAAAGGAGGUCUUUUCCCGAUAUGGAGACAUCAGAAAGAUCCGUCUGGUUCGAGAUCUGGUCACGGGAUUUUCCAAGGGUUAUGCGUUUAUCGAGUACAAGGAGGAACGCGCUCUGCUGAAGGCCCAUAGAGAUGCCAACAGGCUGGUUGUCGAUCAGCACGAGGUCUUUGUAGACUUCGAAUUGGAAAGAACUCUCAAAGGAUGGAUUCCUCGGAGGCUUGGAGGAGGUUUUGGAGGCAAAAAAGAAUCUGGGCAGCUGCGGUUCGGAGGACGGGACAGACCUUUCCGGAAACCUAUUAAUUUGCCAAAUGUGAAAAAUGAUUUCUAUGGAGAAGGCUCAGCAGAGAAAAGAAACUGGUCUCGAGAGGGAGCAAGGGACUGGAGAACAAGAGACCGAGAGCAUGAAAGGAGCAGAGAGAAGAGGGGGCCAGAAAGAGAGCGGUCGUGGGGUUGGGCUGACAGCGAGAGAGAAAGAGACUCAAAAGAGGAGAGGAGCAGAGGGAGAGAGAGGAAGGACAGAGACAGAAAGGACAGAGAGAGAGACCGGAGCAGGGAAAGAGAUGCCAAGAAGCAAAGAGAUGAUGAUAAGUAUCGAUAGCUGGCAGCACCUUGUCUUAAGGGAAUGAUGGGGAGCUUGAGUAUGGUGACUACUCUUUUCUGUAGUGUGACACGCAGUACUGCCCUUAAUGCUGCCUGGGGGCAUGCCUCUGCUGUCAUGGUGAAUGAACUGCUAUGGAGGAGAUGAUGCAGGAAAACGCUGUGCCUUCUGGAGGAUGUGGACACGACUCUGUUGUAGGUGUCACCUUCAGCAUGGGGCUGUGAGCUGCAUUACCCAAACGAGCAGUUUCAUGUUAUUGUCUUGUGCCUUUGACUUUUAUCUGCUAGAAGCUCUCUAUAGUGUGUUUCUAGUGCCAUUGUUCUUCAGAGAAAUUAAACGUUUCUAUUAAUAUUUUAAAGUGGUGAAUAAGAAAUGCACGUUACCAUCCCAUCAAAAUUGAGUGCUCACCUCAUUUUGCUGCUGGGAUCACUGUUCAUUAGAGACCUCCAUAUUUCAUUCUUAAUGUGCCAGAUGCCCCCUCUCAUUUUGUGAGAUGGAUGCCCUUUAUGAAGUCGCUUUAUGAAGAAAUAGGAAUGAAACGAUAGCAACAAACUAAGCUUCUGAAACAUGUGACCCAAAACAGAAGCUGAAAGGAAGUGACUUUAUUUUCUUGAGGACACUGGGACAGACGGACCGACGACACACAGUGGGAACACAAAACCACAUGCCCUGAUUGCUUCUACCAGCCUAAACACUGGGUCCAACCUGAGCCACCACACAGGAGGUAAGAUUUCUUAUGGAGAAAUUCCCGUGGAGUGCAGACUGCUAGAAAGCCCUCUGAAAAUGUAUGGUCUAAUUUCUGAUAAACAAAUCCAUUUAAGGGAUUAAUACUUUUAACAAAUAAGGUGUAUCAAACACCAGCCCUUAUGUAAACACUGAAAAAAUAGCAUAGCAAAAAUCCUGACAGUUCCUUCCAGUUCUUCCCACAAAGAGAAAGUGUCUCUGGAUGUGAAUAUAUGAAGCAGAGAUUUAAGUUUCUGUCACCCCAAUGCCUUUGUUUAAAAAACCAGGAUUGAUAUUAGCACCAGGGUUUCCAAGUUUGAAGAAACACAGAGACAAAACAGCAGAGCAAUGCUCAUUUUUCCAUUUGUUUGAUUCCCCCUUAAUCCAAAUGCACUUAUUUACACAGACUGUACUAGAUAUAGAUGCACCCUAAUGACAGUUUGAGGAGCUCACCCAAAGUAUUCACUUCUUCUUCACGCUUCUAAUUAGAAUCUGAGUUGAUGCCUCUUCUUUUGAUUGUCCCACACCUUUCCCCAAAUAACCUUUUUUUUUUUUUGCUGUAUUUUGCUAAAAUCAAAGACUGAGCAGCCUGUCUGUGGCCAAUGCAAAUGUACUUGACCAAAGCCAAGAAGCAACAUCCAUUCCAGAGCAUGCAGCUAUUCUAGCUUUCUGCUUACCACUACAAUUCCUGUCUAACUAUCAUCCUGGCAGAGAAAGUGGACAACGACUCUAAUUAGAAGUGGCACCAUUGCCAUGGAACAGAGAGAGGUAAAGAAUGCAUCCUUUCUCUCCAAAGACUGAAGACACUUUCACACAUUCUGGCUUUAGGCCUAUGCUCUGCAGCCCUGUUUACAAAGCUGGGUGUCCUAGCUGAAUUAAAAGCAAUGAAGUCAUCCUUGUCAUUAUUAAUACAGUGCUUGCCCAAUUCAGCAGUGACGUUGAGUCGCUGUUGCCUUCCUGGGGUACUAGGUUACCCCAUCAGCUUCUGCCUCUGCUUUCUGAUGUACAUUCUCUCCCAUUCCAAGUGAAUUAAAUGUUAUGCUCUCAGCUGCAGUCUCUCAGGCACAUACAGUGCUGCUGUGCUUCUCACAUGGCUCAGUACUGGAGCUCUUAUCGACACAGAGAGCCAAAGAGCACUAUGCCUCAGUGCUCCUCCAAAUUCUUUCAUAUCAUAAGACUCCUUAUCCUACUUUGUGCUCUUCUAAAGGCAGCAUUCGGAAAGGGAAACAGCACUUUCACUUGAGAAAGACAGAAGUAGUGUCACAUGCACAAAAGCCUGAAAAUGGUAGGUAGUACUUAGAGAAUGUGAAAUAAAGCAGGGAUUUCAGGCAAAGUAGGCACAUUGCACUGCAUGCUGGCAUUCUGCCCUCAGGUAUGAUCUGACUGCAGAGUUCUGCUCUCCCUCUGGGACUUCUGCUACAAUUCCCUUUCUACUGUGCUUCAUACUGUGGUACAGAGGUACUGUGCCUCUGCUAUCGUAGUGCAUUGCACCUUCAGGACCCACUAGGACUUGCAGAUUUGCAUACAUACUCAACAAGGCUUAAACUACCUGUCAGCUGUUCAUCUUUUCAAAAAUCCAGACUGCUAGAAGAUCAGUUUGUUUUCCUUUAGGGGAAGGGGCUGAUCUGAGCAAAUAAAAUAAACCCAAAUGUACUGACACAGCACUACCAAAACAGUCUGCUGUGAAUACAAACUAACAGCUGGUACUCCAGAGAUUUUGGACUCCCUUACGAUGCUUUUAGUAGAAUGCCAUAGUAAGCAAUGAUUUGUUCUGCUAUCUGGAGAGUUCUGCAGUCUAGUGCAUGACCAAAAAAUUACUCUCCCUAGAAAGUGCAGUGUGACACCAAGUCUCAGGGGAGAGCUGUCCUCUAAUGCAGACAUCCUAGUGCUAACCUGUCCUGCCACUCUGCCUUUUGCACAACUGGUUCUGUGCAUUAGAAAGGAGGGUUCUGUUCCAUUGGGCUGUCAUCCACUCAGGGCCUUUCCUGUGACAGCGCAGUGAGUGACACUGACCUCUGUUCCACACCUGAAUAAAACCAUGCUGUCCUUGAGCCCCACCUCUGCCUCUGAUUCAUGUCAAUCUCACUUCCCCGAACAAGAGGUGCUUGGUAUGGAGACUGAGG